GAUUCCAAUGUGUAAGUUAGCACCCUGGACUUUGAAUCCAGCAAUCUGAGUUCAAAACUCUGUGGAACCC
rnacentral:tRNA from 1 species